GUUGAACUGGUGCCAUGGUAGCAAUGGGCUCUUCAGCCCAGGAAAGAGCGAAGUCCGGCCUCUGCCGAGGUUGGCUAGCAGCAGCAGGGAAUCCAGCCUGCUGCAGAGUGAGCCUCUUGGACCAGAUGGCUCCGGCCACGGGAUCCUUCUCAGCACACCCCGUCUACUGCCUGCUGCCCAACACUCUCCCUCUUCCUCAGACCUUCCACUCCAGCCUGGAGAUGCAGGGGACUCCUCCCUCCAGCCCCAAGCUGGUGAUCCUGACUCUGGGGGCGGUCGCAGUCCUCACCAUCAGCAUCAUAGGGGUCCUUGUGGCAACAUAUCUCGGGCGAACUACCUGCCUCCAGCGAGAUGCCUACGGCUACCUGCCUACGCAGGUGAACGUCCAGAACGAAGCGUCGCUGCUCCUGGCUCUCAGCGAACUGGGAGAACAGGGCGUUGCGCCAGGGAUAACCUGUGACCUAAGAAAUCACCUGAUGGUGUAUCACGGGCAGCCAGAAGGGUGCGUGGCCCGGAAGAUGGAACCCUCCGACCAGCUGCCAUCCUGCCAGGAGCUGGAAAGCUACUUCCAGGCUGUAUUGAGAAACGCCACACUGGGGAUUACCUCGGAUGUUCAGAGCAUGGGGACUGGCUCCCUGGGCAGCCUGACCACCCUGCUUUGCAGCAACAAACCCACGUAUUUGAUCACAGCCUUUGCACCUUCCCCCAGGCAUCACAUAAGCAUGGCUGCUUAGCAAGCCCACGGCUCAUGCAGGGAACACCAGACUGCAAAUCCAGCUGUCCCGACUUACUGUAUUAAUUCCAACUGCAUCCAUCUGGGAUGGCCACGCACACGUCAGAGUUUCUAGCCUUGGGUUCUAUCUUUCGGGGGAGAACCGACAACUAACAAGUGUGGGAUUCUGUAUCACUGCUUUGCCCGAGAUAAUCAGUAGCAAUAAAAUACAGAGAUGUGACA
rnacentral:lncRNA from 1 species